GGAGUGCAACUGACAUGAUUCUGCCAAUAUCCUGGGCCCAGUCAACAACAAUCUGUAGAAUGUCCAGGUGUCUUCCCAUUUGGCCCUCUGCAGGGAAUCUGGAUUGUCAGGGCAUGGACAGCAAACUGAUCAAUGGUCGAUUCUGCCAGGAAUGGAGUUCCUGCCUCCCUGCUGUCAGGUUCGGGGUGCAGGUGAAUGGGAUUCGGGGCUGUCACAGUGCUGACAGCAAGGUCUGGGUCAGUGCUCGUCAUAGCUACCAGCUGGUUGGUUGGUCCUUGCUUGUUCUGGUCAUUAUACGGUAACGGUCAUUGGGCUUUUAUUAUAUGCUAAUGACCCGACCAGUGAAAUCACGUGAGACUCGGGACACUGGUGCUUUUCGAUGGAUUGCCCCAAAGAGGAAGGCCGGAGCUGCGGUCCUCCAGGCCUCUUCCUCACUUCCUCCUCCUCCUCCUCCUCCUCCUCCUCCUCUUCCUCCUCCUCCUCCUCUUCUUGCUCACAUUCUCUUUCACCUCCUCCUCAUCAUCAUUUUCCACUAUGAUAAUGGCCUCUUCCCUCCCCUGUAGACUGGCUAAUACCUGGUACUGCCGUCCCCCUAUACUACAGGUAUCUCAGGCCUCUCCACCAAAGCUGCUCAGCUCUGGCUCUAGCUCUGGUUCAGGGUCUGGCUUGGCUCCGGCUUGGUAACUUGAAUGUCGAUCUCCAGGCUUCCCCCAUCCUCCUCCUCAGGAGAGAAUGUUUCUAGGCUCUCCAUGGAAGGGGGCCCCUCCCCAUACCCAGACUUGAAAUCAGGUUCCCAGUAGAAACACCCGCACCCAGGUGAAGUAUGUAUGCACUCCUCCCUCCUGGAGAAUGACAGGGGGAUGGCGGGGGCAGAGUGGGGCCCAGUCCCACCCCACUCAUGUCAGCCAGGACCUGUGCUGCCUCCAUUUCCUUUUGGAGCCUCGGGCGCUGCUCUGGUGGAGGCAGGGGCAGUCACAUGAGCGCUGGUGGUGGCGGAGGUGGCAGCGGCAAGUCAUCUUGACAGGGCUCCAAGCUGCUCAGGCGGUGGGCCUUGGCAGGAGGCCUCUCAUUUGGGCGGUCCGUGGUGACUGUGCUCAGAGCACCACACUCUCCCCUUCCCUCAGCCAGGCCGCUGCAGCCUGCCACACCUGAAGAGGAGUUGCCACGCUAGAACAUGACCAGCUCCAUUCGCAGCUCCGCUCUGCGUUCCUCCCAUAGAGCCUGUCAUGUUCCCU